rnacentral:misc_RNA from 1 species
UUUCCGUAGGUGAACCUGCGGAAGGAUCAUUACCGAGUUAGGGUUGCCUUCUAGGUGCCCGACCUCCCAACCCUUUGUGAAUCGUACUCGUUGCUUCGGGGGCGACCCUGCCGUCCGCGGCUGAGCGCCCCCGGAGGCUCAUCAAACACUGCAUCUUUGCGUCGGAGUCUUAAUGAAUUUAAACAAAACUUUUAACAACGGAUCUCUUGGUUCUGGCAUCGAUGAAGAACGCAGC